rnacentral:rRNA from 1 species
AUGUCGACGAGACUGUACCGUUGGCUGCUUGAGCUGGAGCUGGAGACUCCUGGACAUACAUUACUCAUGAAAAAGUUGUCGGCCGCUGAACCACUUGCAUCCUCACUUGUUAGGUACAAAUACACUGCAUCUCCAGUGGCUUCCCCUCCAUCCAUGAUCCAUGAUCCAUCCCCUCCUAUAAAUAACAGCCCCUCCCUCCUCCUUUACAGCACCAGAGCUAACGCCGAGUACUCCGUCUACUCACCUCCUGAAGCGAUGGCCUCCAGCGGCGGCGCCGUGGCGGCGAUGUUGAAGAACAACAUGCUCGUCGCCUGCGUGAUGCUCCUCGUGGUCCUGCUGAUGGCGACGCAGAUGGGGGCGGCGGUGGCCGGCGACGCCGGCGCGGGACGCCGUCGCCUGCUCGAUGCGUGCCAGUACAGAAACUGCAACUGCCGCACUUGCUACAUUUUCCACUGGGCCUGUUGCGGCUUGUGCUGCCCGCCGGCGUAG